rnacentral:rRNA from 1 species
CAGGCCUUGACAUCCAAUGAACUUUCCAGAGAUAGAUUGGUGCCUUCGGGAACCGUGAGACAGGUGCUGCAUGGCUGUCGUCAGCUCGUGUUGUGAAAUGUUGGGUUAAGUCCCGCAACGAGCGCAACCCUUAUCCUUUGUUGCCAGCGAGUAAUGUCGGGAACUCAAAGGAGACUGCCGGUGACAAACCGGAGGAAGGUGGGGAUGACGUCAAGUCAUCAUGGCCCUUACGGCCAGGGCUACACACGUGCUACAAUGGCGCAUACAAAGAGAAGCGAACUCGCGAGAGCAAGCGGACCUCACAAAGUGCGUCGUAGUCCGGAUCGGAGUCUGCAACUCGACUCCGUGAAGUCGGAAUCGCUAGUAAUCGUAGAUCAGAAUGCUACGGUGAAUACGUUCC